GCGGCUGCAAGUAGGUGGUGAUCUUGCCCAUUCACUCAGAGAUAAGCUGGGCUUUCCUUGCACAGCCCAGAUGCAGAAACAAAACCUCUAGGUUUUGUGUUUGGAUUGAUGUUGCAACCUGAGACCUGAGGUACACUGAGAGCUUUUCAGGACCCUUAAGAAAGAAACAUGAAAAUACUGAGCAACAGGAAAAAAAAUCUGGACUCACAGACUCAAAGGACGUGAAUCACAUUGACCCUGAUGACCUCAAAAAAGGCAAGAGCCAGAAUGCUCGGCUGUUCCCUCUUCCAGAUGCUCAGGUCUUGGUUGAAAACAAAGUAUUUGUCAUGUGAAAAAUCACUGAGACCUGUGGGUGAGGAGUGGAUUCUGAGCCUCACGUUCAGAAUGAGAUCCAUCUGCCAUUGCCCACUGCCUGUUGCAGCUGAGGGAUGGAUGCAGUGCCCAGUGGGAUGUGCAGCUUGGGCAAAGCAGGACCUGCCCCUCUGGAAGGAACCAGGAUCAGAACCUGCCAUCUGACCAGUUCCUUGGGUUCCUUUAGCUCCUGUGCUCUGAGAGAUGAUGUACCACUGGCCCCUCCUCACUACCACCAUGAAGAUCCUCCUCAUAUCCCCCCAUCCCACUAAACCCCUGUUGCUGCAGCCCAGCUCUCCAGCUGACAGUGAAGUUACUGAGACCAAACCAUCUCACAGAGACAUGACAACUUCUGUUAGGACUGAGUCACUUUGGCAGAAGCAAGAUACAUGACCAAGACAACUUUUGGUAAUAACUUACAGUUAUAACUUUUCAUGUGUUUUACGUUUAAAGAAAAUUUAGUGUACCAAAGCUAUCAAUCACAUUAACUUAAGUAGGUAAUUAGGGUUAAAAUACCCAAACAAAACCAAACCAAACCAAACCUAACCAAACCAAACCAAACCAAAACAAACCAAACCAAAACAAAACAAAACAAAACAGAGCAAAACAAACCAAAAACUCUACAUAACCAUUAGUUUAUCAAUAUUUUAAAGAGCAUUUACAUCAUCAGCAAGGAUUUGCAAGACUGCUGCUUAGGUUGAACCUCUGCUGCUGUUUCAAAUCAAGUGAAACAGCUGUGGUUAGUGCCAUGGCUUUCACAAGCAGGAUCACAAGACACAGAUGGAGCCUGGCCACUUAGCCACCCAAAAUAUUAUCUGUUUGGGACUCUCCACCCCUAAGUGUAGAAUAGCUUGAGCAUUAGGUAUUUUUAACUUGUUAUAACUUGUG